UACGUAGGGUGCAAGCGUUGUCCGGAAUUAUUGGGCGUAAAGAGCUCGUAGGCGGUUUGUCGCGUCUGCUGUGAAAACCCGAGGCUCAACCUCGGGCCUGCAGUGGGUACGGGCAGACUAGAGUGCGGUAGGGGAGAUUGGAAUUCCUGGUGUAGCGGUGGAAUGCGCAGAUAUCAGGAGGAACACCAAUUGCGAAGGCAGCUCGCUGGGACGUUACUGACGCUGAUGCGCGAAAGCGUGGGGAGCAAACAGG
rnacentral:rRNA from 1 species